UCCCAGAUGGCCGAGUGGUUAAGGCGUUGGACUUAAGAUCCAAUGGAGAUGUGUCCACGUGGGUUCGAACCCCACUCCUGGUAG